rnacentral:rRNA from 1 species
UAGGGAAUCUUCCGCAAUGGGCGAAAGCCUGACGGAGCAACGCCGCGUGAGUGAUGAAGGUCUUCGGAUUGUAAAACUCUGUUAUUAGGGAAGAACAAAUGUGUAAGUAACUAUGCUCGUCUUGACGGUACCUAAUCAGAAAGCCACGUCUAACUACGUGCCAGCAGCCGCGGUAAUACGUAGGUGGCACGCGUUAUCCGGAAUUAUUGGGCGUAAAGCGCGCGUAGGCGGUUUUUUAAGUCUGAUGUGAAAGCCCACGGUUCAACCGUGGAGGGUUAUUGGAAACUGGAAAACUUGAGUGCAGAAGAGGAAAGUGGAAUUUCAUGUGUAGCGGUGAAAUGCGCAGAGAUAUGGAGGAACACCAGGGGCGAAGGCGACUUUCUGGUCUGUAACUGACGCUGAUGUGCGAAAGCGGGGGGAUCAAACAGG